rnacentral:rRNA from 1 species
GGGUUUAAAGGGAGCGUAGGCCGGAGAUUAAGCGUGUUGUGAAAUGUAGAUGCUCAACAUCUGAACUGCAGCGCGAACUGGUUUCCUUGAGUACGCAUAAAGUGGGCGGAAUUCGUGGUGUAGCGGUGAAAUGCUUAGAUAUCACGAAGAACUCCGAUUGCGAAGGCAGCUCACUGGGGCGCAACUGACGCUGAAGCUCGAAAGCGCGGGUAUCGAACAGGAUUAGAUACCCUGGUAGUCCGCGCGGUAAACGAUGGAUGCCCGCUGUGGGCCAGCGGCCAAGCGAAAGCAUUAAGCAUCCCACCUGGGGAGUACGCCGGCAACGGUGAAACUCAAAGGAAUUGACGGGGGCCCGCACAAGCGGAGGAACAUGUGGUUUAAUUCGAUGAUACGCGAGGAACCUUACCCGGGCUUGAAUUGAAGGUGCUGCAUGGUUGUCGUCAGCUCGUGCCGUGAGGUGUCGGCUUAAGUGCCAUAACGAGCGCAACCCCUCUCCAUAGUUGCCACUCUGUGGACACUGCCACCGUAAGGUGGAGGAAGGUGGGGAUGACGUCAAAUCAGCACGGCCCUUACGUCCGGGGCUACACACGUGUUACAAUGGCAGGUACAGAGAGCCGGUCGUAUGCAAAUACGAUCCAAUCCUUAAAGCCUGUCUCAGUUCGGACUGGGGUCUGCAACCCGACCCCACGAAGCUGGAUCCGCUAGUAAUCGCGCAUCAGCAUGGCGCGGUGA